rnacentral:rRNA from 1 species
GACGAACGCUGGCGGCGUGCUUAACACAUGCAAGUCGAACGGAAAGGCCCUGCUUUUGUGGGGUGCUCGAGUGGCGAACGGGUGAGUAACACGUGAGUAACCUGCCCUUGACUUUGUGAUAACUUCAGGAAACUGGGGCUAAUACCGGAUAGGAGCUCCUGCUGCAUGGUGGGGGUUGGAAAGUUUCGGCGGUUGGGGAUGGACUCGCGGCUUAUCAGCUUGUUGGUGGGGUAGUGGCUUACCAAGGCUUUGACGGGUAGCCGGCCUGAGAGGGUGACCGGCCACAAUGGGACUGAGAUACGGCCCAGACUCCUACGGGAGGCAGCAGUGGGGAAUAUGGCACAAUGGGCGGAAGCCUGAGGCAGCAACGCCGCGUGCGGGAUGACGGCCUUCGGGUUGUGAACCGCUUUCGCCUGUGACGAAGCGUGAGUGACGGUAAUGGGUAAAGAAGCACCGGCUAACUACGUG